rnacentral:lncRNA from 1 species
UGGCCAAUUGUUCGAUUAUCUCUUAUGAAGAGCUCAAGUUGCAAACACUAAGACCUGAUUAACCAAUAUUAAGUCCAUAGGUCUUCCACUGUAGUAGAGCUGCUAAGGUCUUUCUGAUGUUGAUUUGUCUCGGCUGGAUACAGUGGUCAAGUUGCAUCGGAGGGCUGGACCUCUCUAUAGACAUGAGAUGUUGUAGGGUAAAGGUGGGGUUGGGCACCAAUAACUGUUAGGUG